GAAUUCUCAAAGACGUGUCAGGAGCCUUGAAAACAGCCAUUUGUUUGGAGUAAAUGAUCCCUGUGGAGGAAAUGAUCAUAAAGCUCAGGCUACAGAUGAAAUGGCUCAGCACCGAGGGGAGAGAAAAUGAGCGAAAUUCACACGUUCUGUGGACACCACCGAAUGUUCCACUUGGGGGAAAAAAACACCUCUCUGAUCGCACUCUUCCACGGCUUACUUCUAAGAGACCGAUAGCAGAUGGGACCGUGGGCUUUGUGGUGAGGGUGGCAGGGACAACAGACGGACCUCUGAACAUGUUCCUAUUGAUCAUUCUCUUUAUCCUUAUGGAGCCAGUCGAGAAAUGCAAGCAGAUGGAUAGUGCUGUAAAGGCCUUCGACGCUGGGUUGUCAUGGUGACGGAGGCCUUAUGGCGGUUCAUGCCCGUGUACCUCACUACUGCCUCACCCGCUCCACGGGCCAGACCCGGCAGCUCAAACUGGGUUGGACACACUGCUGGCCUACCUCACACUCAACCCGUGGCUGACCAACAAUUGUUGCAUGAAUUUCAUACAAAACACUCCUUCCCCCCUCUCUGUAUGCCAUGCUCUUCCAUUGCUUUCCAACGCAGCUCACCCUUGGCCAGUUUUGUGCAUCCUAAAGCCCUGACUGAUAAUCCAAAAGAACAGGAAGAUGGCUUCGACACUUCCGGAAAGGGCCGUGUGAGGCCGAAACAUGUUGGUGUAGUUUUUAAAUGUUUCUAUAUGAACUAGCCCUUCAUUAAAGGCUUUUUAUUCUAAGAAGAGU